rnacentral:sRNA from 12 species
CUUGCGGACUGUUACACAAACCAGAGUAGCUGUGGCGAAAUGGGACAGGAUGAAACAAGAA